rnacentral:siRNA from 1 species
AGGCCGUUCACGAGGAUGAUUCCA